UUCCGGUUGAUCCUGCCGGAGGCUACCGCUAUUGGAGUUCGAUUAAGCCAUGCGAGUCUAGAGGCCUAGCCUCGGCGUACCGCUCAGUAACACGUGGGUAACCUACCCUAUGCUGGGGGAUAAGCUCGGGAAACUGAGAAUAAUACCCCAUAGUCCACUACGCCUGGAACGGUGAGUGGAUCAAAGCUCCGGCGGCAUAGGAUGGGCCUGCGGCGUAUCAGGUUGUAGGGGGUGUAAUGUACCCUCUAGCCAUCUACGCGUACGGGUGUUGGGAGACAUAGCCCGGAGAUGGAUUCUGAGACACGAAUCCAGACCCUACGGGGUGCAGCAGGCGCGAAAACUUCACACUGCAGGAAACUGUGAUGAGGGAACUCCAAGUGCACGCACUUAGUGUGUGCUUUUUUCAACUAUUAAUCGGUUGAAGAAUAAGGGCUGGGAAAGACCGGUGCCAGCCGCCGCGGUAAUACCGGCAGCUCAAGUGGUCGUCGCUUUUAUUGGGCCUAAAACGUCCGUAGCCUGUUUGGUAAAUCUGUGGGUAAAUCAACCAGCUUAACUGGUUGAAUUCUGCGAGGACGGUCAGACUUGGGACCGGGAGAGGUGUGGGGUACGCUCAGGGUAGGGGUAAAAUCCUGUCAUCCUGAGCGGACCACCUGUUGCGAAGGCGCCACACUAGAACGGAUCCGACGGUCAGGGACGAAGCCUAGGGGCACGAACCGGAUUAGAUACCCGGGUAGUCCUAGGUGUAAACGCUGUGGACUUGAUGUUGGGGGUGCUCCGAGCACUCUCAGUGUCGAAGCGAAGGUGAUAAGUCCACUGCCUGGGAAGUACGGUCGCAAGGCUGAAACUUAAAGGAAUUGGCGGGGGAGCACCGCAACCUGAGGAUUGUGCGGUUUAAUUGGAUUCAACGCCGGA
rnacentral:rRNA from 1 species